GCGGCGGAUGGGUGAGUAACACGUGGGGAACCUGCCCCAUAGUCUGGGAUACCACUUGGAAACAGGUGCUAAUACCGGAUAAGAAAGCAGAUCGCAUGAUCAGCUUAUAAAAGGCGGCGUAAGCUGUCGCUAUGGGAUGGCCCCGCGGUGCAUUAGCUAGUUGGUAGGGUAACGGCCUACCAAGGCAAUGAUGCAUAGCCGAGUUGAGAGACUGAUCGGCCACAUUGGGACUGAGACACGGCCCAAACUCCUACGGGAGGCAGCAGUAGGGAAUCUUCCACAAUGGACGAAAGUCUGAUGGAGCAACGCCGCGUGAGUGAAGAAGGUUUUCGGAUCGUAAAGCUCUGUUGUUGGUGAAGAAGGAUAGAGGUAGUAACUGGCCUUUAUUUGACGGUAAUCAACCAGAAAGUCACGGCUAACUACGUGCCAGCAGCCGCGGUAAUACGUAGGUGGCAAGCGUUGUCCGGAUUUAUUGGGCGUAAAGCGAGCGCAGGCGGAAGAAUAAGUCUGAUGUGAAAGCCCUCGGCUUAACCGAGGAACUGCAUCGGAAACUGUUUUUCUUGAGUGCAGAAGAGGAGAGUGGAACUCCAUGUGUAGCGGUGGAAUGCGUAGAUAUAUGGAAGAACACCAGUGGCGAAGGCGGCUCUCUGGUCUGCAACUGACGCUGAGGCUCGAAAGCAUGGGUAGCGAACAGGAUUAGAUACCCUGGUAGUCCAUGCCGUAAACGAUGAGUGCUAAGUGUUGGGAGGUUUCCGCCUCUCAGUGCUGCAGCUAACGCAUUAAGCACUCCGCCUGGGGAGUACGACCGCAAGGUUGAAACUCAAAGGAAUUGACGGGGGCCCGCACAAGCGGUGGAGCAUGUGGUUUAAUUCGAAGCAACGCGAAGAACCUUACCAGGUCUUGACAUCUAGUGCAAUCCGUAGAGAUACGGAGUUCCCUUCGGGGACACUAAGACAGGUGGUGCAUGGCUGUCGUCAGCUCGUGUCGUGAGA
rnacentral:rRNA from 1 species